GGGGAAUAUUGGACAAUGGGGGAAACCCUGAUCCAGCCAUGCCGCGUGUGUGAAGAAGGCCUUAGGGUUGUAAAGCACUUUCAGUGGGGAGAAAGGUUGUUCACUUAAUACGUGAGCAAAUUGAUGUUACCCACAGAAGAAGCACCGGCUAACUCCGUGCCAGCAGCCGCGGUAAUACGGAGGGUGCAAGCGUUAAUCGGAAUUACUGGGCGUAAAGCGCACGUAGGCGGUUUGAUAAGCCAGCCGUGAAAGCCCCGGGCUCAACCUGGGAAUUGCGGUUGGAACUGUCAAGCUGGAGUACAGUAGAGGGGUGUGGAAUUUCAGGUGUAGCGGUGAAAUGCGUAGAUAUCUGAAGGAACAUCAGUGGCGAAGGCGACACCCUGGACUGAUACUGACGCUGAGGUGCGAAAGCGUGGGGAGCAAAC
rnacentral:rRNA from 1 species